rnacentral:rRNA from 1 species
AAGACCUUGCACUUUUGGAGCGGCCGAUGUCUGAUUAGCUAGUUGGUGGGGUAAUGGCCUACCAAAGCUUCGAUCAGUAGCUGGUCUGAGAGGACGGCCAGCCACACUGGGACUGAGACACGGCCCAGACUCCUACGGGAGGCAGCAGUGGGGAAUUUUGGACAAUGGGCGCAAGCCUGAUCCAGCCAUGCCGCGUGAGUGAAGAAGGCCUUCGGGUUGUAAAGCUCUUUCAGCCGGGAAGAAAAGGUUGCGACUAAUAAUCGCAAUUCAUGACGGUACCGAAAGAAGAAGCACCGGCUAACUACGUGCCAGCAGCCGCGGUAAUACCUAGGGUGCGAGCGUUAAUCGGAAUUACUGGGCGUAAAGGGUGCGCAGGCGGUUUUGUAAGUCAGAUGUGAAAUCCCCGGGCUUAACUUGGGAACU